rnacentral:rRNA from 1 species
CGGGAGGCAGCAGUGAGGAAUAUUGGUCAAUGGACGAGAGUCUGAACCAGCCAAGUAGCGUGAAGGAUGACUGCCCUAUGGGUUGUAAACUUCUUUUAUAAGGGAAUAAAGUGAGGGACGUGUCCCUUUUUGUAUGUACCUUAUGAAUAAGGAUCGGCUAACUCCGUGCCAGCAGCCGCGGUAAUACGGAGGAUCCAAGCGUUAUCCGGAUUUAUUGGGUUUAAAGGGAGCGUAGGUUGACAUAUAAGUCAGCUGUGAAAGUUUACGGCUCAACCGUGAAAUUGCAGUUGAUACUGUAUGUCUUGAGUGUACAAGAGGUGGGCGGAAUUCGUGGUGUAGCGGUGAAAUGCUUAGAUAUCACGAAGAACUCCAAUUGCGAAGGCAGCUCACUGGGGUACAACUGACACUGAGGCUCGAAAGUGUGGGUAUCAAACAGGAUUAGAUACCCUGGUAGUCCACACAGUAAACUGAUGAAUACUCGCUGUUUGCGAUAUACAGUAAGCGGCCAAGCGAAAGCAUUAAGUAUACC